UUAAUUUAUUUAGUUUUGAUUCAGAAGACACAUUUAUAGUGGAGUUUGAGAAAACUUCUGCCGGCCGAAACCGGCAAAGAAACAUGUAUAGUUAAAACAUAGGGUUGAAGUUUGGGCACUGGGUACCCGAAACCUUUAAUGAUCCUUCCGCAGGUUCACCUACGGAACGUGGAUUCUUAACUAACUCUAGUUAAGACCGGUCAUAUCUUGCCCAUAAGAAUGGUUACCACAAUUUGAUCUGUGAGCCUAAAAGGCUGCUGAUUCAUAUGUCUCAGCAUUUGAGUGGCAUUGCUUGCAAGCAAACUACGCAUUUCUUUAUAGUCGCUGCUGAAGGCUUCAAUAGGUGAAGGAAA
rnacentral:misc_RNA from 1 species